rnacentral:rRNA from 1 species
AACAACUCACCUGCCGAAUGAACUAGCCCUGAAAAUGGAUGACGCUUAAGCGGGCAGCCGACACCAGGCCGUUUUAGUAAGAUGCGACUAAAAUGAGUAGGAGGGCGUGGUGGUCAUGUUGCGAAGGGUCAGACGCAAGUCUACCUGAAACGAUCACUAGUGCAGAUCUUGGUGGUAGUAGCAAAUAUUCAAGCGAGAUCCUUGAAGGGCGAAGCGAGGAAGGGUUCCACGCGAACAUUGAUUGGGCGUGGGUGAGUCGUUCCUAAGCCGGGUGGUAAUCGUUCUUCGAUCGGCGAAAGGGAAGCGGGUUAAAAUUCUCGCACACGGAUGUGAAAGCGGUGACGCAAAUUGAGAUGGAGACGUUAGCGGUGGCGCUGGGCAGAGUUGUCUUUUCUGUUUGACCUACGAUUGCACCCUGUGGAAUCCGAUUAUCGGGAGAAACAGGUGCUGAUGGGCAGAGCGUCGAGGCUUUCUCGGCGUCCAGAACGCCACCGAUAGCCCUUGAAAAUCCAUCUGCAACAAUUCAAUUUCACGCCGUGGCGUACCGAUAACCGCAUCAGGUCCUCAAGGUGAACAGCCUCUGCUCAAUAUGAAUAAU